rnacentral:lncRNA from 1 species
AAUAUAUAGAAAGCAUAAAAACGACCAAGCUCAUGAGUUAGCUCAUGAUCAUUAAAGUGAAUAAUGUACACCCCUAGUUGAUGGAAUAAUAUCCAUAGAUAUUUAUAAAUCCAUGGACUUUUAACGAUAACUUAUUCUUUCUUUAAAAAUAUAGAUAUUUAUAAAUCCAUGGACUUUUAUAGGAUUCAGUGAAUCUACACUCUAGUUCCACAGUGGAAAAGUUAGGCCAUGCUCCUCGGUCUUGAAUCAUCAAGACUAUAUCCUUGCAAUCGGUGCCAAAAGCCUGACACGUCGAUAGCUGAAGCAUACAAUCCAUCGCCCAUAAGAGAACCUCGAGCUCUGAGUGAAGUGGUGAGAUUCUUCGCCUCUGGUUUCUUUCUCCCAAUAGCUGAAUUACCCCUCCAGAUUUUGUCCAUGUCCAUCCAUAACCAUUGAACAGUGCGUCAUGUGUCCAUGGUCCAUUUAUCAUGCAUAUUUCAGAAUUUGCUACAUGUUGAGGGUUUUGUGUAACUUCUUGUUCUUCAUGUUUGAAAUUUGCUUCAAAACAAGCAUGACAUUCUGAUUCAGCAUGUCAGAUUGUUUCCAAUGGAUCCAUG